UUUCCUACGGGGGGCAGCAGUGGGGAAUAUUGGACAAUGGGCGCAAGCCUGAUCCAGCCAUGCCGCGUGAGUGAUGAAGGCCUUAGGGUUGUAAAGCUCUUUCGUCAGGGAAGAUAAUGACGGUACCUGAAGAAGAAGCCCCGGCUAACUUCGUGCCAGCAGCCGCGGUAAUACGAAGGGGGCUAGCGUUGCUCGGAAUCACUGGGCGUAAAGCGCACGUAGGCGGCUUUCUAAGUCAGGGGUGAAAUCCCGGAGCUCAACUCCGGAACUGCCUUUGAUACUGGAAAGCUUGAGUUCGGGAGAGGUGAGUGGAACUGCGAGUGUAGAGGUGAAAUUCGUAGAUAUUCGCAAGAACACCAGUGGCGAAGGCGGCUCACUGGCCCGAUACUGACGCUGAGGUGCGAAAGCGUGGGGAGCAAACAGGAUUAGAUACCCCUGUAGUCU
rnacentral:rRNA from 1 species